GGGCCUUAGGCCCAAACCCGACUUGGUAUCGUGAGCACUGAUUUUGCACAUCAGCAUGAAACGAAAAGCAUAAUAAGCUGAAAGAAAAUGCUCCUGUGAACAGAAAAGAACACUUCUCAUCCAUAAACUUGCAUCACGCGUUCAUCUUCCUCUUCGUAUUUUCGAAUCGUCGCGCACCAAUUGAAGAAACCACGACUCCACUUCAUCGAUUCGUGACUCAACAUCAUCAUCAAUGUUCAGAUCGGUUGUAUGCAUGUGGAAACGAAGAAAAACAUAAUUGACACCAGGAAACUCACCAGAUUUUGAAGCUUUGAUUGCAAACAGGUCUUUAAGCAAAGCAUGACAUGACUUUAUGGUGGGCAAGGCAAGGCUUAUGGCAUCGAAAUGGUCAAAUUGAAAAAAAUGGAGUUUUCUCGAUCAUGAAGCAACAUUGGAUCAAGUAUGGAUGUAUAUGUAGUCAAUAUUAAGUUUAGGAGGAAGAAAUGUAAAGGUUGACUUUGGUCAUCUAUUUGAUCAAAAGGUCAACAGUUGACCAAAAAGUCAAAAUUUGGAAAAUGUAUAUUUCUUUUAUUUCCUUAUAAUGGGAUAAUGUAUUCAUUGAUGAAUGAAUGCAAACUCAAAUGUUUGGAUGAAAUAAAAUAUGAUUGUAUGUGAA